rnacentral:rRNA from 1 species
AUUGAACGCUGGCGGCAGGCCUAACACAUGCAAGUCGAACGAGUGGCGGACGGGUGAGUCAUGGCUGGGAAACUGCCUGAUGGAGGGAGAUAACUACUGGAACCGGUCGCUAAUACCGCAUACCCCCCGUUGGGCCCAGAUGGGAUUGGCUUGUUGGUGGGGUAAAGGCUCACCAAGGCGACGAUCCCUAGCUGGUCUGAGAGGCUGACCAGCCAAACUGGAACUGAGACAAGGUCCAGACUCCUACGGGAGGCAGCAGUGGGGAAUAUUGCACAAUGGGCGCAAGCCUGAUGCAGCCAUGCCGCGUGUAUGAAGAAGGCCUUCGGGUUGUAAAGUACUUUCAGCGGGGAGGCGUUACCCGCAGAGGAAGCACCGGCUAACUCCGUGCCAGCAGCCGCGGUAAUUC